UACGGAGGGUGCAAGCGUUGUUCGGAUUUAUUGGGCGUAAAGCGCGUGUAGGCGGUUUCUUAAGUCUGAUGUGAAAGCCCUGGGCUCAACCCAGGAAGUGCAUUGGAUACUGGGAGACUUGAAUACGGGAGAGGGUAGUGGAAUUCCUAGUGUAGGAGUGAAAUCCGUAGAUAUUAGGAGGAACACCGGUGGCGAAGGCGGCUGCCUGGACCGAUAUUGACGCUGAGACGCGAAAGCGUGGGGAGCAAACAGG
rnacentral:rRNA from 1 species